GCCCUUGUGGAUCAGCGGUAGAUCUCCUCCUCUCAGUGUGGAGUUCAUAAUGAAAUCACGGAGGCAAUGUGGGUUCAAAUCCCACCGAGGGCA